AUCCGAGUGCUGGAAUUGGUAGGACAGUCUUAAGUUAAGCUUAAGUGGCGCAAGCCGUAAACGUUCGACUCGUUUCUCGGGUA